rnacentral:misc_RNA from 1 species
GAUGAAGAACGCAGCGAAAUGCGAUAAGUAAUGUGAAUUGCAGAAUUCAGUGAAUCAUCGAAUCUUAGAACGCACAUUGCGCCCAUUAGUAUUCUAGUGGGCAUGCCUGUUCGAGCGUCAUUUCAACCCUUAAGCCUCUGUUGCUUAGCGUUGGGAGCCUACCUACCCGGUAGAUCCUCAAAGUUAGCUGGCAGGGUCGAGGUUCGCCCUAAGCGUAGUAGUUCUUUCUCGCUUCUGCGGCUGCCUAGGCCAUCGCCACAAGCCUUUUAAACUUCAAUGGUUGACCUCGGAUCAGGUAGGAAUACCCGCUGAACUUAAGCAUAUCAAUAAGCGGAGGA